rnacentral:rRNA from 1 species
GAUGAACGCUGGCGGCGCGCCUAACACAUGCAAGUCGAACGGCACCCACCCUCGGGUGGAAGCGAGUGGCGAACGGCUGAGUAACACGUGGAGAACCUGCCCCCUCCCCCGGGAUAGCCGCCCGAAAGGACGGGUAAUACCGGAUACCCCGGGGUGCCGCAUGGCACCCCGGCUAAAGCCCCGACGGGAGGGGAUGGCUCCGCGGCCCAUCAGGUAGACGGCGGGGUGACGGCCCACCGUGCCGACAACGGGUAGCCGGGUUGAGAGACCGACCGGCCAGAUUGGGACUGAGACACGGCCCAGACUCCUACGGGAGGCAGCAGUGGGGAAUCUUGCGCAAUGGGGGGAACCCUGACGCAGCGACGCCGCGUGCGGGACGGAGGCCUUCGGGUCGUAAACCGCUUUCAGCAGGGAAGAGUCAAGACUGUACCUGCAGAAGAAGCCCCGGCUAACUACGUGCCAGCAGCCGCCGUAA